AGUGAACGCUGGCGGUAGGCCUAACACAUGCAAGUCGAACGGCAGCACAAUAAGAGCUUGCUCUUACGGGUGGCGAGUGGCGGACGGGUGCGGAAUACAUCGGAAUCUACUUUUUCGUGGGGGAUAACGUAGGGAAACUUACGCUAAUACCGCAUACGACCUACGGGUGAAAGCAGGGGAUCUUCGGACCUUGCGCGAUUGAAUGAGCCGAUGUCGGAUUAGCUAGUUGGCGGGGUAAAGGCCCACCAAGGCGACGAUCCGUAGCUGGUCUGAGAGGAUGAUCAGCCACACUGGAACUGAGACACGGUCCAGACUCCUACGGGAGGCAGCAGUGGGGAAUAUUUGACAAUGGGCGCAAGCCUGAUCCAGCCAUACCGCGUGGGUGAAGAAGGCCUUCGGGUUGUAAAGCCCUUUUGUUGGGAAAGAAAAGCAGCAGGUUAAUACCCCGCUGUUCUGACGGUACCCAAAGAAUAAGCACCGGCUAACUUCGUG
rnacentral:rRNA from 1 species